CCUCUCACAAAGAAUCUCCCUCCCUCUCCAGAAAAAAAGAGCAAGCACAAGAAGUGCCUGGUGCAGAGCCCCAAUUCUUACUUCCUGAACGUGAAAUGCCCAGGAUGCUAUAAAAUCACCAUGGUCGUCAGUCAUGCACAAUAGUAGUUGUGUGUCUGGCUGCUCUGCUGUCCUCUGCCAGCCUACAGGAAGGCUCUCCUUCAGAUAGAGACAGCACUGAAAGA
rnacentral:lncRNA from 1 species